rnacentral:rRNA from 1 species
GACGAACCGUGCGAACGUUAUUCGGAAUCACUGGGCUUAGAGCGCGCAGGCGGUCGUCCAAGUCGCGUGUGAAAGCCCCCGGCUCAACUGGGGAGGGUCACGCGAUACUGGUCGACUCGAAGGCAGGAGAGGGUAGUGGAAUUCCCGGUGUAGUGGUGAAAUGCGUAGAUAUCGGGAGGAACACCAGUGGCGAAGGCGACUACCUGGCCUGUUCUUGACGCUGAGGCGCGAAAGCUAGGGGAGCAAACGGG